CUACACUUAUAACGACUACAAACGCAUGUACUUAAUAACUAAAAUUUGGUUGGACGAUGACAUAGGAUUCACGACGAUUAUCGACCUGUACUUUCAACACGGACCACUUUGCUGUUCUACAGCGAACUAUGGACUAUCACAACUAUCGAUUCACGAAUGAUUGCCAGGACGAAUAUCGUUCGCAGAGAACACACCGACACUCCGUCCCGCAUCAUCUGCUAAUUCAUACGAGCUACUGUCUCGUUUCGCAAUUAUGGUGCACGGUGUAUAUAAUGGGCCGUACUUUGCAUUAUAAUGCUCCACCGCAGAAGAUUGCCGGAAGUUACGCCUGAACACCUUCUGGCCAAUCUGCUUGUGCCUCAACUUCCGUUUCAUAUUGUCUCGCGAUUCAGCGCUUGAAAACUCGACAUUGCGAAUCAUCAGCUCAUGCUCCAAUUCAUCAUCGAGUAGAUGAUCUGCGUUCAUAGAACGGUAUUGUAGGAGUAAGGAUUCAGAGUUCAUGAUAAAUACUAAAUUAGGCACUAAUUAUAAUAAGUUUCAAAUUCAAGUAAUACUAAGCAAAAAUUCAAAUUAACUAAUACUAAGACAAAAAUUCAAAUUCAAUUCAAUUGCAACUUAUAAAUAAUGAAAAAUCAUGAAAAUAAAUGUAGUAGAAU